rnacentral:rRNA from 1 species
AUUGAACGCUGGCGGCAGGCCUAACACAUGCAAGUCGAGCGGCAGCGGAAAGUAGCUUGCUACUUUGCCGGCGAGCGGCGGACGGGUGAGUAAUGUCUGGGAAACUGCCUGAUGGAGGGGGAUAACUACUGGAAACGGUAGCUAAUACCGCAUGACCUCGAAAGAGCAAAGUGGGGGAUCUUCGGACCUCACGCCAUCGGAUGUGCCCAGAUGGAAUUAGCUAGUAGGUGAGGUAAUGGCUCACCUAGGCGACGAUCCCUAGCUGGUCUGAGAGGAUGACCAGCCACACUGGAACUGAGACACGGUCCAGACUCCUACGGGAGGCAGCAGUGGGGAAUAUUGCACAAUGGGCGCAAGCCUGAUGCAGCCAUGCCGCGUGUGUGAAGAAGGCCUUAGGGUUGUAAAGCACUUUCAGCGAGGAGGAAGGCACCAUACUUAAUACGUGUGGUGAUUGACGUUACUCGCAGAAGAAGCACCGGCUAACUCCGUGCCAGCAGCCGCGGUAAUACGGAGGGUGCAAGCGUUAAUCGGAAUUACUGGGCGUAAAGCGCACGCAGGCGGUUUGUUAAGUCAGAUGUGAAAUCCCCGCGCUUGACGUGGGAACUGCAUUUGAAACUGGCAAGCUAGAGUCUUGUAGAGGGGGGUAGAAUUCCAGGUGUAGCGGUGAAAUGCGUAGAGAUCUGGAGGAAUACCGGUGGCGAAGGCGGCCCCCUGGACAAAGACUGACGCUCAGGUGCGAAAGCGUGGGGAGCAAACAGG